UGAGGAAUAUUGGUCAAUGGGUGCAAGCCUGAACCAGCCAUCCCGCGUGAAGGACGACUGCCCUAUGGGUUGUAAACUUCUUUUGUAUAGGGAUAAACCUACCCUCGUGAGGGUAGCUGAAGGUACUAUACGAAUAAGCACCGGCUAACUCCGUGCCAGCAGCCGCGGUAAUACGGAGGGUGCAAGCGUUAUCCGGAUUUAUUGGGUUUAAAGGGUCCGUAGGCGGACUUAUAAGUCAGUGGUGAAAGCCUGUCGCUUAACGAUAGAACUGCCAUUGAUACUGUAAGUCUUGAGUAUAUUUGAGGUAGCUGGAAUAAGUAGUGUAGCGGUGAAAUGCAUAGAUAUUACUUAGAACACCAAUUGCGAAGGCAGGUUACCAAGAUAUAACUGACGCUGAGGGACGAAAGCGUGGGGGCGAACAGGAUUAGAUACCCUGGUAGUCCACGCCGUAAACGAUGCUAACUCGUUUUU
rnacentral:rRNA from 1 species